rnacentral:rRNA from 1 species
AUGCUGAGGUCUGAUGACGAGUCACUACGGUGGCGAAGUAGCUCAUGCCCCGCUUCCAGGAAAAGCCUCUAAGCUCUAGAUUAUCACUAAUCGUACCCCAAACCGACACAGGUGGUCAGGUAGAGAAUACUCAGGCGCUUGAGAGAACUCGGGUGAAGGAACUAGGCAAAAUGGUGCCGUAACUUCGGGAGAAGGCACGCUGGCGCUAGGUGAAGUGGUUUACCCAUGGAGCUGAAGCCAGUCGCAGAUACCAGCUGGCUGCAACUGUUUAUUAAAAACACAGCACUGUGCAAACACGAAAGUGGACGUAUACGGUGUGACGCCUGCCCGGUGCUGGAAGGUUAAUUGAUGGGGUUAUCCGUAAGGAGAAGCUCUUGAUCGAAGCCCCAGUAAACGGCGGCCGUAACUAUAACGGUCCUAAGGUAGCGAAAUUCCUUGUCGGGUAAGUUCCGACCUGCACGAAUGGCGUAAUGAUGGCCAGGCUGUCUCCACCCGAGACUCAGUGAAAUUGAACUCGCUGUGAAGAUGCAGUGUACCCGCGGCAAGACGGAAAGACCCCGUGAACCUUUACUAUAGCUUGACACUGAACAUUGAGCCUUGAUGUGUAGGAUAGGUGGGAGGCUUUGAAGUGUGGACGCCAGUCUGCAUGGAGCCAACCUUGAAAUACCACCCUUUAAUGUUUGAUGUUCUAACGUUGCCCCGUUAUCCGGGGUGCGGACAGUGUCU